rnacentral:rRNA from 1 species
UGGGGAAUAUUGCACAAUGGGCGCAAGCCUGAUGCAGCCAUGCCGCGUGUGUGAAGAAGGCCUUCGGGUUGUAAAGCACUUUCAGCGGGGAGGAAGGCGAUAAGGUUAAUAACCUCAUCGAUUGACGUUACCCGCAGAAGAAGCACCGGCUAACUCCGUGCCAGCAGCCGCGGUAAUACGUAGGUGGCAAGCGUUGUCCGGAUUUAUUGGGCGUAAAGCGAGCGCAGGAGGUUUCUUAAGUCUGAUGUGAAAGCCCCCGGCUCAACCGGGGAGGGACAUUGGAAACUAGUAGAUUAGAGUGCAGAAGAGGGGAGUGGAAUUCCAUGUGUAGCGGUGACAUGCGAAGAUAUAUGGAAGAAAACCAGUGGCGAAGGCGGCUCUGUGGGCUGUAACUGACGCUGAGGCUCGAAAGCGUGGGGAGCAAACAGG